rnacentral:rRNA from 1 species
UACGUAGGGUGCGAGCGUUGUCCGGAAUUAUUGGGCGUAAAGAGCUCGUAGGUGGCGGGUAACGUCGGGUGUGAAAGCCCGGGGCUUAACUCCGGGUCUGCAUUCGAUACGGGUCUGCUGGGGUCCGGCAGGGGAGACUGGAAUUCCUGGUGUAGCGGUGAAAUGCGCAGAUAUCAGGAGGAACACCGGUGGCGAAGGCGGGUCUCUGGGCCGGUACCGACGCUGAGGAGCUAAAGCGUGGGGAGCAAACCGG